CGUGAUCGGGCAGUCAUGGAGUUCUCCUUCGCGUGCGUUCUGGGACCAUCGCUCUCUCCUGAGCCCUAAUUCCUCGUUGCGCUCUCUGCUUCACAUCCCAAAUCGACUCCGGCCACCUCCGCCUCAGCUACGCGCGCCCUCGCCGCCACAGCCACCUCCGAUCUACGCGCACUCGCGGCCAAUGCCGCCUCUGGCACCGCGCCACCUCGCCGCCUCCGCUCUGCGCGUACGGCCGCACGACUGGAAGGGCGCAAACUCCUCUCCUGUUUCUCACCCACCAUCGACCCAACCUGAACCCCCGCCCCCCCUCCCCCCGGCGCCGGUAAGCACCUAACUCUGGCGGUUCUCGCUGCUAUUGAGUUGAUGCCACAAUGUCGUAGGAAUUCGUCGAUUUGGUUGAACCGUUCGCUGUUGGACGGGCUUGGUCGGUGUCGCUUGCUGAUUGAACUCUUGCAGGCGGAGUUUGAUAUUUAGCGAAAGUAGAUGUCCAGUUAUUGAUCGACUGAUUGAUUUGUUUGGAGUCCCCGUCGAACGAAUUAUCCGCUGGUUGCUUGCUUGCUUGAUUCCCUUGCUCCAGCUAAGGUUUGUUUACACUGCCAUUGGUCAAGAUCUCCGGAGAUGUUGAUCAAGCCGGAGGAGUUGGGGCAAAACCUUUUCACACCCUGCUUUCCAAUAAAUCCCAACUGAUAAACCGUUGCUAUGUGUCCUCUUUAUUGAAAAAUCUACUUCACUGACAGUUUGCUUGAAACAUCAUUUUGAAGCUAACAGUAUAUGCAGGUACUUCUGGUGUAGGAUUAUGUAUGUUAUUAGUUCAGAUUAGAUAUAAAUCGAUCAAGACAUGUUUGAACUUUGAAACAAAUGUCAAAUGUCAAAUGUGAAAUGCUGGGGUACAUUCUUCUUCUGCCCUGGCCCAAGAGAAAAAGUAGUUUGAUCUAACAAAUUUUCUUCCAGGUGAUGAAGGAAUACACGUUCUGUAACUUAUCAGAAGGUUCUUACUGCUCGCUUUUUCUAUCUUCUUUCAGUUCAAAGGCACUUCUGAGUAACGAGAGUUCAAGUUAUCCCACCACCACUUCGAACACUGCCACCCCACCGCCACCACCGUGAAUGCUCCUACUUCUCACCCGCCACCACGAAGGGAAACAAAACUUACUAAGAUACAUAUUGGAGAACAGCUCCGUGGUGAUCUCCAUGGACGACACCCAUGUCCUCGCCACCCUCGCUGCCAGAUAAUAUAAUUGUGGUAAAAUCUUUCUUUGGAGCUCCUGAUUCUUUUUCUCUGUGUUAAAUUGUGCAGGUUAGGAGGGGCUAUCUGCCUAAAGAUUUUAAUGUUCCAAAGUCUCCAGAAAGAAUAUUGUUUUGUGGUCGGUGUCGUGAUACGGAAGAUAUGAUAAUGGUAACUUGACAAUGAAUCCAAAUUGACAUUCUUAAGUGUUCAUGUGCCUAUAACGAAGACAUUUGUAGUGAAAGGAUUCGAAGGCAAAAUUUACCUGUUCCAAAACUUUUCAA